rnacentral:lncRNA from 1 species
CUUACGUUGCGUAAUACUGUAGGUCACAAUUCAGCACAGCGCCAUCACACGGAGAAAAAAUUUCCCUUCCUUUUGUUUGGAUGCAGAAAUUGACAAUGACUAGCUACUCUCAUCGCCAGUCAAGUGCGCUUGACGUUUCAGCCAGGAGAUAGUAUAGUUUGUUUUUACAGAUGCUACAAGGAUUUGCUGAGGUAUUAGGCGAUGAUGAGAUCGAUGCUACUUUAAUUUUGUCGCCAGUUAUAAGUGGGUGUCAUUAUAUUAUAUAUAACCCUCUAUAGGUUUGUCAAUUUGGUGCCGUCCCUGCAGGUGGAAGCAGAUGCCACGCGAAUAUGCCCUCUCCCAUCCACCAUCCAUCCAUGGCGCCAUUCCCUGCGUAACUCUCAGAUAGCGCCGGACGGUUAAGACAAUUCACCUGGUUAUGUAUCUUGUCAUGCAUAUUCCAUAUAGAUAUAGUAGUAGUUACUAGUGUGUGUUUUUUUCUCUCUCGCAUACAUAAAAGAUUUAUGAAUUAUUGUAAUUAAGGUAGAAGAGUUUAUUACAAAAGACGCGCUGCUCUCGAGCAUCCUAGGAGGUCUAUAUAGAAUUAUAGUUACAGGUUGGGACUAUACUAUCUUACAGAUUUAAGUUUUAGUAGUAUACAAAAAGUAGAUAACCAAGAUGUGGACGGCAAUGCAACUUAAUAUGUCAUCAAUCCAUAAAGUAAUAUGCACAAUGUCUUGUAUUACGUUUACCCAGCUUGUAUAUAUUUCAAUCCUUUCGAGCAAGGAAUCAAAGGGUAGAUCAACAUGCUUGAUGACUGCGCCUAAUAUGGCCAAACAAGUCUUCAGUUUUUCCCUCUAGAGUCUUGAUUUCCAUGGCCAGGCCAGCAGGG